rnacentral:lncRNA from 1 species
GGAUUUGCUGCGGUUGCCCGGGUGUAAUGGAGAGCAGUACAUUGUGUUCUUGGUUAUCCUCCCCCUCUGACACUCAGAGGGCCUUAUUCCGCUCACUUCAGUUCCUCUUCUCUUCUCCUUUUCUCCUGGACACAGCUUUCUCAAUCACAACGAAAUAAAUCUUGCGACAGGCUGCGCUGGAGGCCGGCUCUGACUGCUCGGGGCUCUUCAGGGCCAGAAGUCACUUCUCCUCCUCUUGACCCCUGGACACGCAUGUCUGUGCUGGCAGAUGCUCUGCUGUUUGAGGGGGACUCUUGCCAUCUAGUGGGAGGGGAUGGGUUAAGGUUAGAAACGCAAGAAAGAUGGACGUGCUUUCUCCAUGAUGUGCUGCUCUUGUUCAAGCUGCCUGGGACCGAGAAGGAACAGCUGCUGCCUUGUAAGCAUCGUCAUCCAGGAACAGCCUUCAUCUCACAGCUCUUCUGAGUAUUUCACGGGGCUUCAGGUUUUCACCCUCCUUAGGGUCUAGGAGUCUUUCCUUUGCAUGGAAAUGGGGGUAGUAAGUGGAUGUAGAAGGUGCAUAAAUCUCUGGAUUGUGCAUCGUAGAGGUGAAAGAUGUGUCUAUAAGAGAUCUUGCGUGAGGCUGACCCGUGCUUCUGCUCUGAUGUGCUAUUUGUUGC